GCCCUGGAGGACUAGUGGUUAGGCCACAGCACUCUCACCACUGCAGCCUGGGUUCAAUCCCCAGCCAGGGAA
rnacentral:tRNA from 1 species